rnacentral:rRNA from 1 species
AAGGUGGCCUGUGAGGGUUGCUGGAGGUAUCAGAAGUGCGAAUGCUGACAUAAGUAACGAUAAAGCGGGUGAAAAGCCCGCUCGCCGGAAGACCAAGGGUUCCUGUCCAACGUUAAUCGGGGCAGGGUGAGUCGACCCCUAAGGCGAGGCCGAAAGGCGUAGUCGAUGGGAAACGGGUUAAUAUUCCCGUACUUGGUGUUACUGCGAAGGGGGGACGGAGAAGGCUAUGUUGGCCGGGCGACGGUUGUCCCGGUUUAAGCGUGUAGGUGUGUGUUCCAGGUAAAUCCGGUUCACUUUAACACUGAGGCGUGACGACGAGGCACUACGGUGCUGAAGCAACAAAUGCCCUGCUUCCAGGAAAAGCCUCUAAGCAUCAGGUAACAUCAAAUCGUACCCCAAACCGACACAGGUGGUCAGGUAGAGAAUACCAAGGCGCUUGAGAGAACUCGGGUGAAGGAACUAGGCAAAAUGGUGCCGUAACUUCGGGAGAAGGCACGCUGACAUGUAGGUGAAGUGAUUUACUCAUGGAGCUGAAGUCAGUCGAAGAUACCAGCUGGCUGCAACUGUUUAUUAAAAACACAGCACUGUGCAAACACGAAAGUGGACGUAUACGGUGUGACGCCUGCCCGGUGCCGGAAGGUUAAUUGAUGGGGUCAGCGCAAGCGAAGCUCCUGAUCGAAGCCCCGGUAAACGGCGGCCGUAACUAUAACGGUCCUAAGGUAGCGAAAUUCCUUGUCGGGUAAGUUCCGACCUGCACGAAUGGCGUAAUGAUGGCCAGGCUGUCUCCACCCGAGACUCAGUGAAAUUGAACUCGCUGUGAAGAUGCAGUGUACCCGCGGCAAGACGGAAAGACCCCGUGAACCUUUACUAUAGCUUGACACUGAACAUUGAGCCUUGAUGUGUAGGAUAGGUGGGAGGCUUUGAAGUGUGGACGCCAGUCUGCAUGGAGCCGACCUUGAAAUACCACCCUUUAAUGUUUGAUGUUCUAACGUGGACCCGUUAUCCGGGUUGCGGACAGUGUCUGGUGGGUAGUUUGACUGGGGCGGUCUCCUCCUAAAGAGUAACGGAGGAGCACGAAGGUUGGCUAAUCCUGGUCGGACAUCAGGAGGUUAGUGCAAUGGCAUAAGCCAGCUUGACUGCGAGCGUGACGGCGCGAGCAGGUGCGAAAGCAGGUCAUAGUGAUCCGGUGGUUCUGAAUGGAAGGGCCAUCGCUCAACGGAUAAAAGGUACUCCGGGGAUAACAGGCUGAUACCGCCCAAGAGUUCAUAUCGACGGCGGUGUUUGGCACCUCGAUGUCGGCUCAUCACAUCCUGGGGCUGAAGUAGGUCCCAAGGGUAUGGCUGUUCGCCAUUUAAAGUGGUACGCGAGCUGGGUUUAGAACGUCGUGAGACAGUUCGGUCCCUAUCUGCCGUGGGCGCUGGAGAACUGAGGGGGGCUGCUCCUAGUACGAGAGGACCGGAGUGGACGCAUCACUGGUGUUCGGGUUGUCAUGCCAAUGGCACUGCCCGGUAGCUAAAUGCGGAAGAGAUAAGUGCUGAAAGCAUCUAAGCACGAAACUUGCCCCGAGAUGAGUUCU